CCAACUAACGAUGCCACAUCGGUGUGAAAAUAAAAUGGAGUGCGUCUCAAUUGUGUCCUCAAGUAGACGAAACUCCUGCUGUUUCUCUCUGAUUUUAAAGUUCGACAAACAGAUUGAAAGGAAUUCGCAUUCAUCCGGGGCCUUCUACUUCGUCCUUUUGUUCCUUUCCUUGCCUUUCCGCAAUGAAAAGUAUGCGCCAACUGUGUCAACAGUGUUUGCAGUGCCCCCGCAAUCCUUGUUUUCCAGUCCCCAUCCAAGCCGCUAGCCCUCCUCAACCGCGAAGUUUUCGUAUUGAUAAUAAUCUGAUUGCAAAUGAAUACAAUUUAUUGUGCUGUUCAUUCGCCUUCAUUUCGCCGCGGAUUGUGUGUUGACAAGGUGUGGAUGCGAAAAAGUGAAAGACGAUCUACUACACCUUUAAUUGUUAGAUUGUCGAUAGGAACGUGUAAAAACGCUGAAAAAUCUGUGGUUAAUAUCAAAAUGGACAUCGUGUUAGCAUGGAAGAUAAAGAAGACAUGGCCGACGGGACUUUAAGUGGUGACUAUUUAGGAGAUCCUCAAAAGUAGUCAAGGUAGUCAGCUUAUAGAUGAUGACCAAUAAAAAUAUAAUGGUUAGUACACAGCCUGUAUCAAAAACUAAAUUUCUAAAUCCUAAUGUCAGAUAAUAAUAUUUGGGUUUGCUCCGCCCUCAAGAAAAGAUAAUAUCACUUAUUUAUUUUAAAAAUUAGGAGAAUAUUAUUCUAUUAUAAUACAAUUCAAUUAGACAAAUCAAAAGUGGUGAACUAUCUUUUCUUGAGGUUUUUAAUAAAACUGGUUUGGUUUCAACCUUUAAAGUAAAUCAUUAAUAAAACUCAUUGACCAAGUGCAUAUGGAUAAACUAUAAGACCAAAUCUGGCCUUUCUACAAACCCUAAAACUAUGCAACAAAAAAACACAAAUUUCUAGCUACAUGUUAGCUUAUAUAUUUUACCCACUUAUAAAUAACCAACCAAAAUAUUAAAAGCCAUUAUUAAAGUACAAAACAUACGCGCAAAUAUUUAUUUUUUACGAGUUUCCAAAUAAAUUUGACUCUAGGCAGUCUUCCCGUACAUUUUUCUCGUUGUUUAACAACUUCGCAGCAUGUUAGUCUUGAGAAGAAGGAUAAAACACUCACAAUUGGGUUUGGCGUAAAAAUAAAAAGAACUGAAUGCUUGGAAAGUCACAGGGAAAGUUAAACAAAUGUUUCAUCGAAUUGGAUUCAAAUCUAAAGAGUACGUUGUGUGAGUUUAGCUUGUUUAAGGCGUUAAUCGUUUGGGAUCGCGUGGGAACAUGGAAGUCUUGCGGAUGUUGUCCAGUCCCAGAUACAGCAUCACCACACGCUCCAUUCCAAUGCCACCACCAGCAUGUGGAGGACAUCCAUAGCGGAAGGACUCGAUGUACGCCGCAAUCUUGGAGGUAUCUAGAAAACAAAUAUAUACGGCGUCAAUAUUAAGUAUUUAUAAAGUAGAUCAAGGUGGAAGUUCUUAUCUGAAAUGUGAUACAGUUUUAGCACUUGAGCUGUACACUUAUAUUAUUCUCUUAUUGCAGUCUUAUCAUUGUUUACCGAGAGAUCUUGUGACUAAGCUGACCUUAGGAGUUAUUUACUACGUGUAGGGGGUACUCACCAAUGCCAUGGUGCUUGGCUCGCUCGAUUAAGUACUCGGGAUCGUGGAUACGCUGCGCGCCGGACAGGAUCUCCUCGCCGCGCAUGAACAUAUCAUAAGAGUUGGAGUAGACCGGAUUGUUUGGAUCAGGCAUCGUGUAGAAGGGCCGUAUCGCUAACGGGAACUUGUCAAGGAUGUAGAAGUCAGUGUCGUACUUGGCCUUGACCAGGCGACCCAACAGCUUUUCGUUGGGCGUAGACAGAUCCUCCUCGUCGCCGGUCUCCACACCAGCCUCGCGCAACAUGGCCACGCCAUCGGCGAACUGGAGGAUCAGUGGUGGCUCCAGGAACUUGAAGGCAUCAACCUUGUACUGCUGGCCAACAGAUUCGAUUUCCUUGGCGUACUUGUCACGCAGUCCCUUGAAAAUGGACGUAAACGUGUUGCCAAUCGUGUGCAGCACCUCGUGGUAGUGAUACUUAAAAGCCAUUUCCAGGUCAAGGCCUACGAACUCGGUCAAAUGCCGAUGAGUGUUCGAAUCCUCUGCACGGAACACGGCUCCUACGGUAUAGACCUUGUCAAAAUCGGCAGCGAUGGCCAUCUGCUUGUACAGCUGCGGCGACUGCGCCAGAUAGGCU